UAUCAUUUGUUUUGCUCUCCUGGUACUUCUUUUAAAUGCAACUAUCUAAUGUAUACCCUUUUCAGCCCUCUGCAGACAGGCAGGACUGAGCACGCCCUACUGAGGUCCUGAGUCGCACAGAACACACCAAGUCAGCCGGCUGCAGACAGGCAGCCACCUGAUUCCACACUACAAAGAUGCAGGGGACACUUGACCACCAGACCAUGGUACUGAGUCCUGCCACUCCCGACCCAGAGGAACUGUCAUAUUUAUAACUUUGACAGAUCAUCAAGGAAAUUUGAUGAGGAACUUUGCCCUGAUUGAAUACUGCCUGGGAAAGGAUUAAGUGGCAGUUUGACACAAACUUAUUUUUCUUUGGUG
rnacentral:lncRNA from 1 species